rnacentral:rRNA from 1 species
CCUACGGGGGGCAGCAGUGAGGAAUACUGGUCAAUGGACGAGAGUCUGAACCAGCCAAGUAGCGUGAAGGAUGACUGCCCUAUGGGUUGUAAACUUCUUUUAUAUGGGAAUAAAACGUUCCACGUGUGGGAUUUUGUAUGUACCAUAUGAAUAAGGAUCGGCUAACUCCGUGCCAGCAGCCGCGGUAAUACGGAGGAUCCGAGCGUUAUCCGGAUUUAUUGGGUUUAAAGGGAGCGUAGGUGGAUUGUUAAGUCAGUUGUGAAAGUUUGCGGCUCAACCGUAAAAGUGCAGUUGAAACUGGCAGUCUUGAGUACAGUAGAGGUGGGCGGAAUUCGUGGUGUAGCGGUGAAAUGCUUAGAUAUCACGAAGAACUCCGAUUGCGAAGGCAGUUCACUGGACUGCAACUGACACUGAGGCUCGAAAGUGUGGGUAUCAAACAGGAUUAGAUACCCUAGUAGUC